UACGUAGGGUGCAAGCGUUGUCCGGAAUUAUUGGGCGUAAAGAGCUUGUAGGCGGUUUGUCGCGUCUGCUGUGAAAUUUCGGGGCUCAACCCCGAACUUGCAGUGGGUACGGGCAGACUAGAGUGUGGUAGGGGAUACUGGAAUUCCUGGUGUAGCGGUGAAAUGCGCAGAUAUCAGGAGGAACACCGGUGGCGAAGGCGGGUCUCUGGGCCGAUACUGACGCUGAGGAGCGAAAGCGUGGGGAGCGAACAGG
rnacentral:rRNA from 1 species